GAAGAGUUAUGACAAAAAAAAAAGUGUGUGUGCAUAUAAGAUUUUUAUCAUAGGUUAGGGGUUACAAGUGUGAAGAGAAAACAAACAAAUGAGUGGAGAAAAAGUUGAUUCCUACGGCUCACUCACGUUGAAAUGUAUGUUGUGUUGAGAAAAAAAAAAGCAUUAUUGAUAGGUUGGGAUGAUAACAUUUUAAUUGGUUUUUGUAUUGGGGAUUCAGAUUGGAGUCAAAAAUGGAGAACAGAUAGAAGAAGGUAGUAUAAAAAAGGAAACGUUCCGCCUUAUGGUGAAGCACUUGCGUGAGCAGAAGUAGACAAAGCAGAAGUGAGAAUGUCGGCUUGAGUAACGCAAAUAUUGGUGAGAAUCCAAUGCCCCGAAAACCCAAGGGUUCCUCUACAAGUUUCGUCCACGGAGGGUAAGUCAGGGCCUAAGAUAAGGUCGAAAGGUGUAGGUCAAUUGAUAACACAUUUAAAUUGGAUGAAAAUCGCUAAUUGAGUCUUAAUUUGAUUGGUAUGCGCAUUAUUAUUAGUGUAAGAAGACGUGAUUUGAGUGCGUUGAAGCGCAUUAUUUUCUUAUUUAACAAUGUAAAUAGUUUUCAUUUUAUAAUUUUUAAAAGCUGAAAAAUAUGUUUGGUAAAUGAAAAUAGAAAUUUGUUUUCAAUAAUGAAAAUAGAAA